rnacentral:piRNA from 1 species
UGAAUGGUUGUGCUCCUCUCUGUUCUGG